GCCCCCUUAGCUCAGGGGAUAGAGCACCGCCCUCCGGAGGCGGGAGCGCAGGUUCGAAUCCUGCAGGGGGCACAA
rnacentral:tRNA from 2 species